rnacentral:rRNA from 1 species
UACGAAGGGGGCAAGCGUUGUUCGGAAUGACUGGGCGUAAAGGGCGCGUAGGCGGUCGCGUGCGUCAGGUGUGAAAGCCCCGGGCUCAACCUGGGAACGGCACUUGAGACGGCGUGGCUGGAGAGCGGGAGAGGAGUGUGGAAUUCCCAGUGUAGAGGUGAAAUUCGUAGAUAUUGGGAAGAACACCAGUGGCGAAGGCGGCACUCUGGCCCGUAUCUGACGCUGAGGCGCGAAAGCGUGGGGAGCAAACAGG